CACGCCGUAAACGAUGAUAACUAGCUGUCCGGGCACUUGGUGCCUGGGUGGCGCAGCUAACGCAUUAAGUUAUCCGCCUGGGGAGNCAACGCGCAGAACCUUACCAGCCUUUGACAUCCCGCGCUAACCAGAGAGAUCUGGGGUUCCCUUCGGGGACGCGGUGACAGGUGC
rnacentral:rRNA from 1 species